rnacentral:rRNA from 1 species
CCUACGGGGGGCAGCAGUGGGGGAUAUUGCACAAUGGGGGAAACCCUGAUGCAGCGACGCCGCGUGUGGGAUGACGGUCCUCUGGAUUGUAAACCACUUUCCCCAGGGACGAAGUUGACGGUACCUGGGGAGGACGCUCCGGCUAACUACGUGCCAGCAGCCGCGGUAAUACGUAGGGAGCGAGCGUUGUCCGGAAUUACUGGGUGUAAAGGGUGCGUAGGCGGGGAUGCAAGUUGGGUGUCAAAACUACCGGCUCAACUGGUAGUCGCACUCGAAACUGACGGUCUUGAGUGAAGUAGAGGCAGGCGGAAUGCCUAGUGUAGCGGUGAAAUGCGGAGAUAUUAGGAGGAACACCAGUGGCGAAGGCGGCCUGCUGGGCUUUUACUGACGCUGAGGCUCGAAAGUGUGGGGAGCAAACAGGAUUAGAUACCCCUGUAGUC